AUUAUUUUGUAGUUCAUUAGCAGGAUAGCUGGGUUGUCACACAGUUGUGUGAGGUGUGCCUCUCUCAAACCUUGCCACAGUGUUGGCACAAUAUCCAAGUGAUG